UAAUGUGUCAGAGCGAAAUCAAAACAAACAAAAAUACUUCGCAAAUCAGUUCAUUUUGGUUUCGCAAAUUAAUUUGCAAAUUGCAACACUUUUCAAAUCUAGCUUCUUUGAAUAAUAGCAAAGCAAUUGUAAAUAGUUCGGAGCGAGUCAAAAUCAACGCAAGUAUGUGCAGGAUAGUGUUGUGAAUCAAUUGAUUUCCGAACAGACGGUGAUGUGGCAGUUUUGGGUUGAGUGACAGAGCAGGCAAAAUUCAACCAACAAAGUGCAUUCCGCGGGACCCUGUAUACACCAAGGAAGGCGAUACCAGGUCCGCCAUGGGCAGAAUUAUUAAAUAUAGGAAUGUCAACGGAAGGAUGUCGUCAAAUAAUGUGGAUUGCAAUUGCAAGAAGAAACGAGAUCAGAUAAAAAGAUGGCGAGCUACAGUAAGACUCUGGGACUAAUGCGUUUCUUCUAGUGUUGUGGGCAACGGUACAGCGAUCGGUCCGUGAUGCAGUGAAGUGAAAAUUGCAAUGAUAAUAACGAUUCGUUUGGCAUUUAGAUAGCACUUCUUUGGAAGAACAACGACAAACGUAGCAACACGCCAGCAAUCGCUUGUGAUGCUUUCGGAGGAGGAUUUUGAGCACCUUAUUUGUAGGAGCGACUGCAGUAUCUGACCAAAAUGUUUAAUGACUUUUUAUUCCGGAACAAAUGAUUCGCCGAUAAAUGGAACUAAUAAAAAUCGUACCCCAAACGCAA